rnacentral:rRNA from 1 species
GGGUUCGAUUCCGGAGAGGGAGCCUGAGAAACGGCUACCACAUCCAAGGAAGGCAGCAGGCGCGCAAAUUACCCAAUCCCAAUACGGGGAGGUAGUGACAAUAAAUAACAAUAUGGGGCUCUUACGGGUCUCGUAAUUGGAAUGAGUACAAUUUAAAUCUCUUAACGAGGAACAAUUGGAGGGCAAGUCUGGUGCCAGCAGCCGCGGUAAUUCCAGCUCCAAUAGCGUAUAUUAAAGUUGUUGCAGUUAAAAAGCUCGUAGUUGAAUUUCGGAGUUUGUCGGUUGGUCGGGCUUCACUGUCCGCACUGGCCUGAUGGAUUCCUACCUUCUGAAUAACCAGCAUGCUAUUAAGUUAGUGCGUUGGGGAAGCAGGGCUAUUACCUUGAAAAAAUUAGAGUGCUUAAAGCAGGCUUUUGCUUGAAUAGAUUAGCAUGGAAUAAUAAAAUAGGACGGCAUGGUUCUAUUUUGUUGGUUUCUAGGAUCACCGUAAUGAUUAAUAGGGAUAGUUGGNGGCAUUAGUAUUCAAUUGUCAGAGGUG